UACCAGAGUACUAUGAAUAUUGUAAUUUAAAACUCAAAGAACUUGGCGGUGUUUUAGACCAUUUAGGGGAACCUGUCUCGUAAUCGACAGUCCACGAUAUACCUGACCUUUUUUUGUUUUUCAGUUUGUAUACCGUUGUCGUCAGGUAACUUUUUAGAAAAUAGAAGUUGGCUUGAAAAAUAAGAUAAUUUAAUACGUCAAAUCAAGGUGCAGCUAAUAAAAAGGGGAGGAUGGGUUACAAUUAUGAAUUUAUAAUUACGAAUAAUCAUAUGUAAAUGUGAUUUGUGAAGGAGGACUUAAAAGUAAAUUAAAUUAUAAAAAUAAUUUGAAUGAGGCUCUGAAACGUGU
rnacentral:rRNA from 1 species